rnacentral:rRNA from 1 species
GACGAACGCUGGCGGCGUGCCUAAUACAUGCAAGUAGAACGCUGAAGGAGGAGCUUGCUUCUCUGGAUGAGUUGCGAACGGGUGAGUAACGCGUAGGUAACCUGCCUGGUAGCGGGGGAUAACUAUUGGAAACGAUAGCUAAUACCGCAUAAUAGUAGAUGUUGCAUGACAUUUGCUUAAAAGGUGCAAUUGCAUCACUACCAGAUGGACCUGCGUUGUUUUAGCUAGUUGGUGGGGUAACGGCUCACCAAGGCGACGAUGCAUAGCCGACCUGAGAGGGUGAUCGGCCACACUGGGACGGAGACACGGCCCAGACGCCUACGGGAGGCAGCAGUAGGGAAUCUUCGGCAAGGGGCGGAAGUCUGACCGAGCAACGCCGAGUGAGUGAAGAGGGUUGUCGGGUCGUAAAGCUCUGUUGUAAGGGAAGAACGAGUGUGAGAGUGGAAAGUUCACACUGUGACGGUAUCUUACCAGAAAGGGACGGCUAACUACGUG